rnacentral:rRNA from 1 species
GACGAACGCUGGCGGCGUGCUUAACACAUGCAAGUCGAACGGUGAACCCUCCUUCGGGAGGGGGAUCAGUGGCGAACGGGUGAGUAACACGUGACCAACCUGCCCCUUGCUCUGGGAUAACCCCGGGAAACCGGGGCUAAUACCGGAUACGAGUCCGCGCGGCACCGCGCGGGCUGGAAAGUUUUUUCGGCAAGGGAUGGGGUCGCGGCCUAUCAGCUUGUUGGUGGGGUAACGGCCUACCAAGGCGACGACGGGUAGCCGGCCUGAGAGGUUGAUCCCCCACACUGGCACUGAGAUACGGGCCAGACUCCUACGGGAGGCAGCAGUGGGGAAUUUUUGGCAAUGGGGGCAACCCUGACCAAGCAACGCCGCGUGGGUGAUGAAGUCUCUUGGGACGUAAAACCCUUUCGACGGGGACGAAAGCCGCAAGGUUUGACGGUACCCGUAGAAGAAGCCCCGGCUAACUCCGUGCCAGCCGCCGCGGUAAUAC